GAACAAUAGGGAACAGGUUUUUCACGUGUAGAAGAAUUGCAACAAGUUACAGCCACAACUGAAAACAGUCGUAGUGUCCACAGAUUUGGAGGUGCUGUUGAAAGAGGUUUGCUGAGUUGCUGCAGUGCAAGUUGUAUAAGAUGCCGGGGAAUCACUGGCCCAAGACCUUCCAAAGUGGAGGAGGAACAUCCUUCAAGCACCUCGAAACUUGCCAUUGGGAGAAAAUGAAAGCCAGGAGAAAACAGUGAAAGGAGAAUACUGCCACACCAACACCUUCUCCACCCCAUUCCAUGACCACCACCUGUCCCAAGUGUGAAAGAGCCUGUGGUAGUCUUAUCAGUCUGUAUAGCCACCUGUGGACUCAUCCUAAGAGUGAAAAAGAGUCAUCUUCAUCUGAGAGUAUAGCCCAUAACGGCAGAGAAAGCCUGUUCGGAUUGGGGGACACCCACCACCUGAAGGUAAAUCCUGGGCAUCGUGGGAAGAAACCAGAAUGGCACCUAUUCUAUACAUCUCUCCAUAACAUCUGCGGACAAACUCCCAGCUUUGAAAGAAGUGCUCUCCUGACCCUCUGAGGAUGACUACCAAGGUCUCAGAAGAAACUCCAGCAAAGCCACCUUCUGCACCCCUGCCAGUCCAGGUACUGAUGCCUCUGGGAGAACCAUAGACAUAGAGAGUGUGGGAGCACAAUCUGAUGAGCACUUUACCGUGAUACCUCAACAGCUGGCUGAGGGGGAAAAAAACAACCUAUUGGCACUCAGGAGACUGACAGAGACCAGGACCCUGCUCAGCCCCAGACAAUCAAACACUUCAUCUAAAUGCACAGGAUGCAACAGUAGUGGCAGACAGGCAACUGUGAUGCAAUGGCUUUGAUUGCCUAGAAGCUACAGCACUGCAAUGAAUUACAACCAUCAGUCUGACUCCAUGGAUAAGUUGGCAAUUGCCAUGGUGAUCCAGGCCCAGCACCUUCAGGGCCUGUUGAAGAUGCACACAUGUCUGCAAGCCGGUGCCCAGCUACUGAUCCCCAGAACAGAAGACAUGGCAACAGGGCAGCAGGGACAUUGACUCCGGUCCAGGAAUCCCCUCAAAACCAAGAUACAUGGCAGUGCCAGGAGGCACAAAUUGGAAGAAGUCAUGUUCAGUUUGAAACAUUAACUAUUUUUCUCUGUCUGCAGAUCAUUGCCAGAUUUGCUAUUUCCAACAUUUCAGAUGUCUAACCUGCAUGGAAUUUUACCUCUAUUUUACAACAAGCUAGAUUACAUUUGAAUAAACAAUAAACAAACAAUUUCUGGUACUAAUGAAUGGCAGUUAGAAGGUCUGGAUUUCCCAUCUUAUUGAUAGUCAAAUAGAAGAAGAGGUUGGCAGAAGAAUGUCUUAUAGUGCAGCAAUAGUGUCCCUACCCCUGGACCAGGAAGCCUGCAUUCAAGUCCCACCUGCUCUAGAGAUAUGUGAUAGUAACUUGAAACAAGUUGAUGUACUUACAGACUGUGCUGCGUUUUCUGGUGAUUAGUUACAAAGUUGCAUUGAGUGAUGACUGAGAAUAACUCCCUUUCAGUAAGGGAAAUUUUACUAAGAAAAGGAACAAACUAACAUGCAAUAAAUAGUUGAACAAAAGUAUCAAAUUGCAACUGGCAGCUGUGAGAUUGAGCACAAAUAUGUGUAUGCAAUUGUUCCAUUCAGGGAAUGUUUUGCUUUGGAAUUUAUUUGUUCAAACUAUUGAAUCUGAGUUCCUGUUAAGUAACUGUGCAUUGUAUGAAAUGCAGUAAAUAAUUCAAGUAAUUUUUCUUCAGUGUUUGUUUUACUUUAAGGCUGGCAGUAGAUUCAUCCACUUUCACUACUGUUCUGUUCUAAAUGUGAAAUAUUCAAUAAUGUUAUUCA